rnacentral:misc_RNA from 1 species
AUCUCGCGGACCAGGCGCUGGAAGGGGAGUUUUCGAAUCAGGAGCUCCGUGCUCUUUUGGUACUUUCGGAUUUCACGGAGAGCAACGGUUCCGGGUCGGAACCUGNCCUGUGCGGUUUCUUGACUCCGCCUGUUGCCGGGGCGGAUUUUCGGGCUGCUUUGGUUGCUAGCUGCUUUCGUGGUGCCUUCCCUCCCGUGGACUUUCGGGCUGUUUGCUUGGUUCGGGCCAUGGUAACCGGAU